CCGUUAGAAAUUUCUAACGAUUUUUAUCCGUUAGAACCGCAAGUUAUCUGUUAGUAUUAAUAACAAAUUAUUUUUAUUAAUUUUGUAACAGCUUAUAAAAUACGACUAACACUUGUAGUGCGUUAGUAAUAAGUGAACAACAACUAUUUUUUUAUAUAUUAAAUUAAUAAAGAGGGCAGCAAUUUAUUUAAAUUAAAACUUAAAAGGCAUUCCUUCUUCUCUUAUUUGGAUGUACGCUAAUUGACGAGAAAUAAAAGAAUGAGAAUAAAUAAGCCUUGACUCAGCGACGACAGGGUAACAUUCGCCGAUGCCGCCACCGCCACCGCCUCGUCCUCCUCCGCCGCGGCUGCCACUACCACCACCGCACAAGCAACAAUUUUUCAGUAGCAAUCGGAUUUUGAACGAUGUAUGGACGACGACGACGACGACGACGGCAAUAAAGUUUUAGGGUUUCCACUUCCCCUUCCAACAUCGUCUAUUGGACACCAUCCUUGUAUAAUUUACAGCGGCGGGUGAUUAGGACCGCGACGAAAACAUCAAUUGAUACAAUUUCAGAGAAUGGGAGGAAUUGGACAUUUCAAUAUACCUGGUUUAAGAGGUGUUAUUACACAAGGUACUAGAAAGGUUCUCUAACGUGUUGAAUGGAUUGUAUUCGAUUAUUUCUUUUGCUAACUUGUGAUGCUUUCUGUAUAUAUUGCAGAAGCACAUGAUGUAGUUGGGGAGAAGAAACUCGAGGCUCUAUAAACAGAGGUAUAGGUAUAUUAGUAUGCCAUUUUAUUUUGCUGAAAAUUGAUAUAAAUUGAUAUUAUGUAUUGAGCUAUCGAAAAAUACUUGAUUAUAUUAAUUUUAUCACCGAUGUUGUGCUUUCCCGAGUAGCAAUAGAUAAGAGAUUGUCUCUGAUUAAAGCAUGGAAAGAAAGUGAGAACUCAAAAGCAGAAAACAAGUCUCGGAAGAAAAUAUCUACUAUUGGAGAUUAGGAGAACAUUCGGACAAUGACCCUAGGAGCCGAGCUUAAGAAGAUAGAGGACAUCUGAGUUCAAGCUUGGUGGGGCAGGAGUUCAUCUGUUAUAUUUAAAUUACAAUUUUUUUUUUGUUCAAUGUAAAUGAAUGUUGUUGUAAUGGUUUAUGGUAUAUUGAUCAUAUUGAUACUCUAGGUUGAAUUCUUUAUAGAAUAGUGGAAAAUUCAUUGUAAUGAAUGACUAUUUUUAUGUAAAUUUAAAUUUUGUUAUUUGUGACCUGUUUUUGAAAUAAUAUAUUUCUUUUUCA